GAUGAAGAACGCAGCGAAAUGCGAUAAGUAAUGUGAAUUGCAGAAUUCAGUGAAUCAUCGAAUCUUUGAACGCACAAUGCGCCCGCCAGCAUUCUGGCGGGCAUGCCUGUUCGAGCGUCAUUUCAACCCUCGAGCCCCCCCGGGGGCCUCGGUGUUGGGGGACGGCACACCAGCCGCCCCCGAAAUGCAGUGGCGACCCCGCCGCAGCCUCCCCUGCGUAGUAGCACACACCUCGCACCGGAGCGCGGAGGCGGUCACGCCGUAAAACGCCCAACUUUCUUAGAGUUGACCUCGGAUCAGGUAGGAAUACCCGCUGAACUUAAGCAUAUCAAUAAGCGGAGGA
rnacentral:misc_RNA from 1 species